rnacentral:rRNA from 1 species
GAUGAACGCUGGCGGCGUGCCUAAUACAUGCAAGUCGAGCGAACAGACGAGGAGCUUGCUCCUCUGACGUUGGCGGCGGACGGGUGCGUCACACGUGGAUAACCUAACUAUCAGAAUGGGAUAACUUCGGGAAACCGGAUCUAAUACCGGAUAAUAUAUUGAACCGCGAGGUUCCAUAGUGAAAGACGGUUUUGCUGUCGCUUAUAGAUGGCUCCGCGCCGCAUUAGUUAGUUGGUAAGGUACCGGAUUAACCAGGCGACGAUGGGUAGCCGACCCGAGAGGGUGAUUCGCCAGCCUGUAAGUGAGACACGUCCCACACACUUACGGGAGGCAGCAGCAGGGAAUCCUCCGCAAGGCGCGAAUGCCUGACGGAGCAACGCCGCCUGAGGGAUGAAGGUCCUCGGACCCUAAAGCUAUGUUAUUAGUGAAGUUCAAAUGUGCAAGUACCUAGGCUCGUCUUGACGGUACCUAGUCAGAAAGCCCCGGCUAACUACGUG